CUGGCAGGUGCUUCUUUGGGGCGACGCGGCGGGCGGAGCCGGAAGAGGUGGGUGGGGGCGGGACCCGUCUUGCGCAUGCGCCCUGAGCGCGGCCUGCCGUGUGAGGCGGAAGCGGAAGAGCGGGUCUCCAGGGGAGCGAUGGCAGCCGGGGGUCUGAGCCGCUCGGAACGCAAAGCUGCGGAGCGGGUCCGAAGGUUGCGGGAGGAGCAGCAGAGGGAGCGCCUCCGCCAGGUGUCGCGCAUCCUGAGAAAGGCGGCGGCGGAGCGCAGCGCCGAGGAGGGCCGGCUGCUGGCCGAGAGCGCGGACCUGGUAACGGAGCUGCAGGGCCGGAGCCGGCGGCGCGAGGGCCUGAAGCGGCGGCAGGAGGAGGUGUGCGACGACCCGGAGGAGCUGCGAGGGAAGGUCCGGGAGCUGGCCAGCGCCGUCCGGAACGCCAAAUACUUGGUCGUCUACACAGGCGCGGGAAUCAGCACGGCAGCAUCUAUCCCAGACUACAGGGGCCCUAAUGGAGUGUGGACACUGCUUCAGAAAGGGAGAAGCGUGAGUGCCGCUGACCUGAGUGAGGCCGAGCCAACCCUCACCCACAUGAGCAUCACCCGUUUGCAUGAGCAGAAGCUGGUGCAGCAUGUGGUGUCUCAGAACUGUGACGGGCUCCACCUGAGAAGUGGGCUGCCACGCACGGCCAUCUCAGAGCUCCACGGGAACAUGUACAUUGAAGUCUGCACCUCCUGCAUUCCCAACAGGGAGUACGUGCGAGUGUUCGAUGUGACGGAACGCACCGCCCUCCACAGACACCAGACAGGCCGGACCUGCCACAAGUGUGGGACCCAGCUCCGGGACACCAUUGUGCACUUUGGAGAGAGGGGGACGUUGGGGCAGCCUCUGAACUGGGAAGCAGCGACUGAGGCUGCCAGCAGAGCAGACACCAUCCUGUGUCUAGGGUCCAGCCUGAAGGUUCUAAAGAAGUACCCACGCCUCUGGUGCAUGACCAAGCCCCCUAGCCGGCGGCCGAAACUCUACAUUGUGAACUUGCAGUGGACCCCAAAGGAUGACUGGGCUGCCCUGAAGCUACACGGGAAGUGUGAUGAUGUCAUGCGGCUCCUCAUGGCCGAGCUGGGCUUGGAGAUCCCCGCCUAUAGCAGGGUCUUAUAGGGGAAAUCAAUAACUUCUUUUAAUCAAAGGGUUCAAGAAAUUAAGGAUCCCUUCACCUUCUGGGCCUGGCACUUCUUGUGGCAGGAUCCCAUUUUCUCACUGGCGACUCCCCUGCGUGCUGGCGAAGAAGGCAGCCACAGUCGGAAGUCGCUGUGCAGAAGCAGAGAGGAAGCCCCGCCUGGGGACCGGGGUGCACCGCUUAGCUCGGCCCCCAUCCUAGGGGGCUGGUUUGGCAGGGGCUGCACAAAACGCACAAAAAAGAAGAAAGUGACGUAACCUGGCGCUCGAUGAAGAACAGUUGGCACUUUGCAGAUGGCCAGUGUCACGGUGAAGGCUGGCUUGUCCCCACGGGUCUAGUGAGAACUCUUUGGGGAUGACGUUUUCACCGUGACAUUUUUAGCCAUUUGUCCUUGUGGAAGCCCCUUGCACUGCUGCGGUUGUCCCCUGAUACGACUUGGCCAUGGAGGACACCUGCCCAUCCGGCCUCUAUGUCAAGGGGUGGCAGCCGCACCUUUCUGUGAGAACGGAACUCGGGUUAUUUCAGCCCCGGCCGGCAGAGUGGAAGCGCCCAGCGGCCUUUCCUCACUCGCCAGGCCAGUCUCAGGGCCUCACCCUAUUUCUACUACUUAACGAAAAAGUGUGAAAACUUUAUAGAACCCUCUCUGUACUGGACGUGCGGCAGAGGGGUGGCUCCGAGCCUCGGCUCUAUGCAGACCUUUUUAUUUCUAUUAAACGUUUCUGCACUGGU